AGAGAGCUGACAACCUUCUGUGGUAAGGGGUGAACAUCCUUGGGAAGCCACAGAGAGCAAGGCGCAGUUUUUCAUUGAUCACCACUUUCAAGAUGCUCCCAGAAUCGUGCUGUCUAGGAAGCCAUUUAAACUGGUGAGAAGCCAUCCUCUCUUGAAUGGGGGCUCCCACUGUACAUCUGGCACCCACUUCACAGAUUCUGGGGGAUGUCAACACCAGCACUGCUGAGCUGUGUGACCUUGAGCAAGACAGUUAGCCUCUCUGAACCUCAGUGUCCUUCUCUGUAGGCUGGAGAUUGAUAUACCUUCAUUAUCGGGGUAUGAGAGUGUUAUAAAUCCAUGAACUGGAAGAUGCUUUCUUAUAACUCAGAGAAAAGAGAUGAAAAUGAAUCAAAGAACAGGAAGGAGACAAGCUCAGGAGAGUCACCCUAAGAAGGAUGUGUGGAAGACUUGACUGGAGGAUCAAAAUGUGUCGGGGGAAGGUGUACAAGGAGGAGUAAGGACACAGAUGUCCUGACUUCACACAGUGGGGGAUUAGAAGCCACCAUCAAACACAGAUGAAACAGGAAUAAAAGUAGUAGUACAUUACUUAAGCUUUAAAAGGGUAAGACUCCUGGGAAUUUGGAAGCUGAGACUUGAGGAGCAGAGGCAUUUAGCUGUGUAAACACAGAGCUUCAGUGGCAGCACCCUAAAUGCUUAGCUGAUAGAUCCGGAAUUAAAUACAGACCUAGAAACUGGAGUUGGAAAACUUCCUGGCAGCACUCCUUCCCUGCCAUCCCGGUGAUCCCCUUCUGGAUGGAGGGUGUGGAGCUCAGCACAUUCACGUCUGCAGUUCUCAGAGAACCAAGUGUUAAGGAAUGUCAGGGAAGGAAGAAGGCAGCCAGCCAGGAAGGGGAGGUCCUGGCCUGAGCACGCCAGGCACAGAGGGAUAGAGGGUAGGGAGGAAACUGCACCUGUCUCCAACCCUCGACCCCAGCCCCGAAACACGACAUUGGCUGAAACAGAUUAAAAGCAUAAAAUGGCCCAAAGAAAUGGGAGAAGGUUGGCCUCUGGUCGGGCAAACAUGAGGGCAUGAAGAUAUAUAAUGUCCCACACGGGAGGAAACCCUUGCCGGGCCCCUCAGGAUUUAUAACAAGCUCACCUGAAGGAGAAACUUCAGGGGCACUUACACCAUCAGAUACCUAGAAAGGAGCUGUCAUUUCCUCACUGAAGAGUUUGCAAGCAGAUGGUAAAAGGGGUUUAAUUUGAAAACACUGAAACAUCGUGUUCGCUCAAAACCAUGACAAUUGCAGUUUUAUUGUCUCCACUCAGGAAAAUGUGUGUCUGGAUCAUCUUGUGGCCCGAAUGGGGAGAAAAGCAGCACAAGAAUGGAAUAGUACAGUGGCUACGAACACAGAAACCACACUCCAGGCCCAGUCCCCGGCAGUGGCCUCCAGGACCCACUCUGAGCUAGAUCACAUCAGUGAUGGGCUGGCCAAUCUUUAAGGAGAAUGACUCUACUCUUAGGAAGCCAGCAGGUUGGAGGAGGAAACACAUUCAAAUCCCGAGCACAAGGAGCUGGGAGAAGACCGGUUAUGGGAGCGGCAUUCCUGGAAGCUCUGAAGUCACAGCCCCACUGAUGAAAGGAGGAAAGAUGAAAGAAAGAAAAUUAAGGAAAAGAGGAAAACAAGCAAAAAACUCAGCAAAGAUGUCAUUGCAUAAUAGUCCAUUAUGCCUCCAAUUGAGCCGUCAUGAACUAUCAAAGAAAUAAUUGCGCAAUAAGCCCAUAAUGGCUUAAUCGUGUCAACAUCUUUGCAUUUACAUAUUUUUUUAAUCAAUG
rnacentral:lncRNA from 1 species